rnacentral:tRNA from 1 species
CAAGGAAUAGUUUAAUUCAGAACUCUGGCUUUGGGAGUCAGCGGUGGGGGUUUAAGUCCCCUUUCUUUGA